UACGUAGGGUGCGAGCGUUGUCCGGAAUUAUUGGGCGUAAAGAGCUCGUAGGCGGUUUGUCGCGUCGACUGUGAAAACUGGGGGCUUAACUCUCAGCUUGCAGUUGAUACGGGCAGACUUGAGUUCGGUAGGGGAGACUGGAAUUCCUGGUGUAGCGGUGAAAUGCGCAGAUAUCAGGAGGAACACCGGUGGCGAAGGCGGGUCUCUGGGCCGAUACUGACGCUGAGGAGCGAAAACGUGGGGAGCGAACAGG
rnacentral:rRNA from 1 species